rnacentral:rRNA from 1 species
UACGUAGGGUGCGAGCGUUGUCCGGAAUUAUUGGGCGUAAAGGGCUCGUAGGCGGUUUGUCGCGUCGGGAGUGAAAACCCAGGGCUUAACCCUGGGCUGGCUUCCGAUACGGGCAGACUAGAGGUAUGCAGGGGAGAACGGAAUUCCUGGUGUAGCGGUGAAAUGCGCAGAUAUCAGGAGGAACACCAGUGGCGAAGGCGGCUUCCUGGCCUGUUCUUGACGCUGAGGCGCGAAAGCUAGGGGAGCAAACGGG